rnacentral:rRNA from 1 species
UACGUAGGGGCCUAGCGUUGUCCGGAUUUAUUGGGCGUAAAGAGCUCGUAGGCGGUUUGGCUAGUCAGGUGUGAAAUCUCCACGCUCAACGUGGAGGGGCCACCUGAUACUGCCAUGACUUGAGUCCGGUAGGGGAGUGUGGAAUUCCCGGUGUAGCGGUGAAAUGCGCAGAUAUCGGGAGGAACACCCGUAGCGAAGGCGGCACUCUGGGCCGUGACUGACGCUGAGGAGCGAAAGCGUGGGGAGCAAACAGG